rnacentral:lncRNA from 1 species
CAACAGCCUGCAAAUAGAAAUAUACUUCUACUAUUUCUGAAGAUGAUGUGUAGCAUUUUUUUUAAAGUUUUUGUCUGCAUCACACUCACCUGGUGCCAGCAGAAGCCAGAAGAGAGGGUUAGAUUCCCAGUGACUGCAGUUACAAAGAGUUGUGAGCUACCUUGAGGAUGCUAGGAACCAAAUCUUGGUUCUCCGUAAGAGUACCAAGUACUCUUAACCAUUGGGCCAUCUCUCCAGCCCCAACAUGCAUAACAUUUUGCAUUUCCAGAUGAACAUUCAAAAUACUUCUUAAAUAAAAAUAUAAAUGAAUUUUGAACACAUCCAUAUUAUAAACACUGUGUAAGUUCUAACACAACAAAAUAUGAAUUCUCUUAUUAAAAUUACUGUAUAGUCAGGGCUGGGAAGAGCUCAGUAAUUAAAAGAUGGUCUGCUCUUCCAGAGGACUUGGUUCAGUUGCCAGUAUCCAUGCCCUCAGAGUUCUGAUACUCUCCUCUGGCCUGUACAGAUACCUGUAUAUGUAGGAAAACAAAAAUUAAAAAACACUGGGUAGUCAUACGUAUAUUGUACAUCAAGAUUCAUUUUAUUUUCUAUUUCAUUUAAAUACCAGAGAAUGAUGUCAUAGUUUCCCUUCUGUGUCCCUUCUUAAAAGAGCAUUCAGCUUACAUAAAUUGGAAUGUCUGAUGAAAUUUACCUGUGGAUAGGUAACUAUUGAGCUCUCUAAAGUGGUAUUUUUGUCCAUAUUUCUCAUUCAUUUAAUUCAGCCGAUUGGUCAAAUACAGAAUGUAGAACUUGGAUCUUGUUGCUCUGCAUGCUGGCAGGAGGCUUGGGUUGAUCUGAGAGGUGGUCUGGCUUCUCUGGCAGUGACCUGUAAGGUUUCGCUUUGAUUUCACCUUCAGAAAACAUGGGCUCCGAGAGCACGGGUUCAGAGAAGGCUUUUCUAAAAUUCUUGCUCUCUCUAUUUUGCCUUAUGGAUUCUUCUUCUUGGAAAAUGUUCUUUAUCUUUGCCAGCACAGCAUUAACACAGACUGCCUGUACCAAAAUCCAAAACAAAAUGAAACAGAAAUGUUGAAAAAUAAUGUUUCCCUUUAAGGUACUAACAACCACAGACAAAAAGUAACAUGUCUAAUAUAGUCAAUCUACAUGUUCUAAUUUAAAAAACCCUUCCUUUGAGGAAACCCUGACUCAUGGCAAGUGAUAGAUCGAUUCCUUAUCCUAAAUAUGGAAAGGCAUUUAAAUAAAACAUGCAUAAAAAUAACUUCAGAAGUGAGAAAUACAACAAGUUUAAUCUUAACUUACUCUUCAUCACUAAUGACGUCGAUGAUGGAGCCAAGGAGUGAAAGACAACAACCAUUCCCUGAAGCUAAACAGAACAGCACUAGUUUGCCUUGCACAAGAACUGCCUCAAGUCGACAUGAGGACAGCAAACAUUCAGGGCUUUCUUUCUCUCCUUCAGAUUUCAACGCACUUUACUUUUCUCAGAGAACUCUUAUUAUUACAGCACAUGGCUUAUAUGCUGUUACAUUGCUGUAUCACAAUGAUAAUUUACCCUCUCCCUCCUCGUACUAGUCCCAGCCCUUCCCUCGUAGUCCUUCCACUAGCUUAUGUCUUCUUAAAAAUCAUUCUGGUUUCCACACAAUGAGACAAAACAUACUAUACUUUUCUUUCUACGUCUUUUGUCUUCUCCUAAAUGACCUCAAAUUCCAUUCUGUAAUCUUUUUCCCAAAUGUUAUAAUUUCAUUUCAUAGGUUUCCUUUGCAUUGAUCUAGAUGAUGAUAUUUUUGUCUUAAUUCUAUUUAAUACUGAAUUAAAUAUUGGUUUACAAAUAUAGAUCUAUCCUAGCAUCCCUGAGAUGAAACUGACAAUUAUGAUGAUGUUUUAACAUAUAUUUCUGAGUUCAAUUUGCAAGUACCUUAUUAAGGAUUUAUUCACCUAAUUAGUUUCAAAGAUGAUCAAGUAUUAUCAAAGAUUAUAUUGGCCUAUAAUUUUUUUCUUCCCUUUUCUUCCUUUCUCGUUUUUCAGAUUUGUAAACCUUGUAGUAAUGGCUUAAAAUGUUUUGAAAAAUAGUGUUUUGUGUGUUGAUUAAAAGAAUGUGUGUUUUGCUACUGUUGUAUGGAAUAUUGUGUAGACAUUUAUUAAAUCAUUGACCCUUAGUGUACUUAACGCUAUAAUGUUUCUUUGUCCAUAUUUUUGUCAUGAUGGUCUGUGUGCUGGUGAGAGCAGGGAUACUGAAGUCACCAACUAGGAUUGACACAAUGGUAUUGUAGUCUUAGCUCUCCUUGUAUGCUUGUUUAAUGAGUGAUCCAGUCUUCAAUGUAUAUAGAUUUAUAACCAUUACAUCUCCUCAAUGGACUGUUCCUCUUAUAGUUUGGAUGUAAAAUGUUCUCCAUAGGUUCAUGGGCUGAAGGCUUUGUCCCAGAUAUGGACCUAUUUUGGGAGGUGCUAGUAAUUUUAGAUGAUGGGUACUUCCUAUAAUCAUUAUUUCGUUGGAGGUAUAUUCUAGGGGUUAUAUCUUGCCUUGUCCACAUCUCCUUCCCCUGCUUCUUCUCUGUCAUUAAAUAAUAAGCUUCUGCCACCUGCCUCCACUGUCAUGCUUUACUCCAAUGUGAGAGCUGUGGAGAAAGCUAGCCUUUGCUGAAAGUUCUCACACUGUGAGCCAAAAUCAACCUUUCCUUCUUUAAAAUUGUUUCUUUCAGUUACUUGUUUCAGUGAUGAAAAGCUGCCUAGUACAAUUCCUUUUGCUGAUAUAUAGUGACCUUGUUUUUUAUAUUUUCUGAACAUUUUGUCUUUAAGUCUCCUGCUUGGUUUCUGAUUUAAUUUUCUAGAAUAUAAUUUUCUGAUAUUUCAUCUUUAGUUUUUGUAUGACUAUGUGAUGGAUGUGCGUUUCUUGCAGGCAGAAUUUCUUGUAUCUUGUUUUAAAAUCCAAUAAAUCAUUUUGAAAUUUU